UUGACGCGCACGGGGCUAAUUGUCUCCUCUUCCAUUGACUCUGUCAAUUCAUGACUUUGACGCGCACGGUAGCUGCUAACUGCCUUCUCCAUUUGACGUGCAAAAAACUUUCUUGAGUCGGGUUAAAAUUAAUUGAUCAUUUUAUUUGGUGAUAAUGACUUAGUUGUCAAGUCAUGAGUUUGAUGAUGAAGAGGACGAAAAAUAUUAUUUUAUUAUUUAAAAUAAGACUAUCAAUUAUUUCGAUGGUCAUCUUAUUUUCUAAAAUAACUUAAUGGAAUCUUACAGAAUAGAGUGCUUGACUUCUUCAUACAGUGCUUGACUUCUUUUUACAGAAUUAUAAAGUGAAAAAGGAAAUUAAGAAAUUAAAUACUUUUCAUGCGAGUGGAGAAGAUUGGGUAGCGAUUACAUUAAAUAAA
rnacentral:lncRNA from 1 species